ensembl:lncRNA
UAUUUUAGGGUCCACACACCAUGAGCUGUCACCAGGAACCUCCUGAACUUCUGGGGUGACUGAAGGUGUCCAGCGAGGCGACGUCAUCCCAUGCUCUCGGUACACAAGGUCAGGAGGCUGGAGGCACUCAGGGGCAGCAGCCUAUCAGUGAUCCUCCUGCCUCAGCCUUCUGCAUGCGGGAUUAGAGGCUGAGCCACUGCACGCAGCUUAAAAGUACCAUUCUUACUACAGCUGGAAAUGAACCACAGCAAAUCACCUUCAAAACAAAAGGAUACAGCAGAUAAGUCAGUGCAUAAAAGAACCACAGGCUGAGCCAAGGCUGGACUGCAAUGGCACAAUCUUGGCUCACCGCAACCUGUGCCUCCCGGGUUCAAGCAAUUCUCCUACCUCAGCCUCCCAAGUAGCUGGGAUUACAGAAUUUCCAGAUACUUUGGUUAAGUCAGUGCCCCAAGAAAGACUGGAAGUGGUAGAUGCAGCUAUAAGAUGAAGGAACCUGAACAAUCCAUGAACAGGAGGAGUUUGAGUCUUUGCAGAUGUAAUUAAGGAUCUUGAGAUGAAAUUAUUCUGGAUGAUCCAGGUGAGCCCUGAAUCCUAUGACAAGUGUAAUCACAUUAUAAGACAGGAAGAGGAGGCACAGAGACAUGGAAGAGAAGGCCAUAUGAAGACGAAGGUGGAGAUGGAGUGCUGUGGCCACAAGCAAAGCUGACAGCCACCAGAAGCUGAAAGGAGCAAGGAAAAAUUGUCCCCCAGAGCCUUCAGAGGGAGUGUGGCCCUGUGGACACCUUGAUUUUGGACUUCUGGCCUCCAGAACUGUUUCACAGCCACCUCCAAAGCAGUGCAAUCCAGAUGAAGGACAGAGAAGUUAUGAAGGAUGUGUUCACCCAUGGGAAGUCGCCAGGCAAUGGACAGGCACACUCAGGACCCAUCGGGACAGAUGCAGAACAGUGCAAAGCCAGCAAUGGCAUGUCGUAAGAUUGUACUUCCUGACAUCCCUGUGACCAGUGGGGUCCUGUGCCUAGUUGACAGUGGAAGGAACAUGUAACUUCUAGGUGAGUCAAGGGAAAAAUACUUCAAAAAUGGAGUUCUCAGGCCAGGCUUGGUGGCUCAUGCCUGUAAUCCUAGCACUUUGGGAGGCCGAGGCGGGUGGAUCACCUGAGAUCAGGAGUUUGAGACCAGCCUGGCCAACAUGGCUCCAUUUCCCCUGAAUGUGGAGAAGAUAUGCAUGUUGGCCAUACUUCAGAACCCGGUCAAUCCUGAGGGCUCUGUGUCAUCAUGCCACCAAAAUAUGCAAGACACCUUGCAUGGGAAAAUACUAGAAUGAUACACAUCACCCUAGCGACGGUGGAAACCUCUGCUGAAGGGAGAGGAAAAGGUGGUGGGUUGAUGGCCUGGAGACUCGUCAUACUUUAUUCUGUAUACUUGUGUAUUGCUUCAAACAAAAAUUUGUUCCUGUCUUACUUGUGCAAUAAGGAAAAGGAAAACCCUUUAGGGACCUCUAGAGAAGUUUAGCAAGGUUAGAGCUCAUAAAACUCCCUCUUUAUGAAUGAGGAAACAAGGCAGCUGGAGCACCAGCAGGUUAUAUGUUCCUGCUCACAUGGCUGGGUGGGGACCAGCGCUUGUCCCUCUUGAUUUCUUCUCUUCAGUCCUAGGGACACUGGGUAUAUGUACCAGUGUGACCAGUGGGCAAAGCUGCAAGUGGGCCAAUGACCUCAGAGGCUGAGCCAAUGCAGAAAUGUCUUGGAUUCCAGACCUAUUCUUGAGAACUUGGAAACUUAAGAAAUCAAAUGCUUUAAUGACUAAUCUUUAUGAUCCAAAGUAAAGAAUGGAGAUGGCUUAGAUUAAAAACAAAACCUGUACCAGAUUAAUUUUGAUUUUUAAAAAAUCACAUAAUUGAGACCAGCCUUGGCAAUAUGGCAAAACCCUGUCUCUACUAAACAUACAAAACAAUAGCUGGGAGUGAUGGCAUGUGCCUAUAGUCCCAGCUACUCAACAGGCUGAAGAGGGAGGAUCACUUGAACCUAGGAAGUUGAGGCUGCAGUGAACCGUGAUCAUGCCACUGCACUCCAGCUUAAGUGACAGAGCAAGGCCUUGUCUCAGAAAAAAAAAAAAAAGAAAGAAAUUGCAAACUGCUUUACAUUUAUUUUCUCUGAGAUCAAAAAGACACAUUUUGAGAACAAGGGGGUUCUUUGUUGUGAAAGAACAUAACUGACUUCUUAUGUCUAUGCUGACUUCAAAGGUGCUUCUUGUGGGUUGAUCAUUUAAAAAAUAUUAUUAUCAUAAUUGAGAUAUAAAUGACAAAACCACACUUGCAUGAGCUAGUGAAAAAAAAAAAAAAAAA